GAUGAACGCUGGCGGCGUGCUUAACGCAUGCAAGUCGAACGGGAAGGCCCAAGCUUGCUUGGGUACUCGAGUGGCGAACGGGUGAGUAACAAGUGGGUGAUCUGCCCUGCACUUCGGGAUAAGCAUGGGAAACUGGGUCUAAUACCGGAUAGGACCACAUUUUGGAUGGUGUGGUGGAAAGUUUUUCGGUGUGGGAUGAGCUCGCGGCCUAUCAGCUUGUUGGUGGGGUAAUGGCCUACCAAGGCGUCGACGGGUAGCCGGCCUGGGAGGGUGUACGGCCACAGUGGGACUGGGAUAGGGACCAGACUCCGACGGGAGGCAGCAGUGGGGAAUAUGGCACAAUGGGAGCAAGCCUGAGGCAGCGACGCCGCGUGGGGGAUGACGGCGUUCGGGUUGUAAACUCCUAUCGCUAGGGACGAGGCGUUUGUGUGACGGUACCUGGAGAAGAAGCACCGGCUAACUACGUG
rnacentral:rRNA from 1 species